rnacentral:lncRNA from 1 species
UUUGUCAUAUAAAUAACAUGAAAAUUCUAAACAAGACAGUGAUGCUAACGAUUAAUUGUCAGAGUCUUUUUAAGAUAAGAGUAUCAGUUUGGGAAUAUAAAGAAGUGUGUUGUUGUCAUAAAAGUGGUGACUAAGAAAGUAAAUUCCGUUACUGAAGAAUGCCCACCAAGAAUAAAGAAUUGGAUGCAAAGCACCUCCAGUGAAAUGCAGAAAUAAAAAGAUAAUUAAGUGUUCAUGAUCACUUUCCUUUGGAAUCAUAGAACUAUGCAACCUUAUUUUUCAACUACAGUGGAUGAAUGACAAACUGAAAUAAAAACCAAUGAUUUAUAUUA